CUUGUACUCCCUCCGUUCGGAAUUACUCGUCCAAGAAAUGAAUGUAUCUAGAUGUAUUUUAGUUGUAGAUACAUCCAUUUUUGUGACAAGUAAUUCCGAACGGAGGGAGUACAUG
rnacentral:pre_miRNA from 1 species